AUUAAUAUACGUUAGUCUGUGCUCUUUAUUUGUUUUUAAUUAUCUGCUUUUCCUUCAAGGCAACUCAAGUUUAAUAUAAUUAUUGAUAAGGCUGUUUUUACUUUAUCUGCUUUUUUCUUGUUAUUAUUUUGGUAUUAUUUUAACUGACUUCAAUAUUAAAUUCCUCCAGCUAGGGGCCUGUCCAUAUGGACUGUACGGAAAAACAGACACCUGGAUAGCACGCCACAGCCUGCCCUUCCCCUGCAGCAUGGCUUCAGUUCUGUUAAACAAAGGUCUCUGCUCUAGCUCUUCUAUUCCUGAGAGAAAUGUUCAGCCACAUUCCUUUUAAGAUAGCAGUCAAAUAUGAGAUGCUACUUCUUAGCUGGCUAACAGUUAAAUGGAUACAGAAUGAGAAGGUAGAACUGUUUGAGCAAUUACAGUAAGAAUAAUUUUUCUUCAUAUUUGAGCAGAAAAAAAGCCUUUGAGAAUAUGAGUUUUCUAAUUUCUGGCACAAUUACCUUUCCUCUGACCCAUCAUGAAUAAAGCUUUCUCUCUUUAAACUUCUAUAAACCAUAUUUGAAUCAUAGUCAUAUCAAGGUCAAUUUGGAACAACUAUAAUGAUGUCUACAGAAUUUCCUUCAUUUUACUCCCAUGUAACUAACUAUAAAUUGUAGAACUGCCUACGAUCUCUCCUUGGAUGUGUUUUUUUCCACCAAUUUCUCUAUUUUCAUCUUCAUGUAUACGGGAAGGAGAAGCUGUUUUGUUGUAUUCAAUAGGGCAAGAAAAGAGGAGAACAAAGAAUGAAAGGAACAUUGUAGAAAUUUCCAAAGUGUUUGGAGGGAGCUAUGCAUUCAGACUGUGCAGUAUGUGGUUAGACUAUGUAACAUGCUCUCUCUUUAAGUGAUUAUAUUUCAGAUAUAGACUGUGAGAAAUAAUGGUUCAUGCUUUAUAACAAUACUGCUAUGAAAAUUUAACUGAAAUUUCUGAGUCUCCUCCCUCAUCAUUCUCUUUUUCCUCCAUAUGCUGUUUUUCUAAUCAGAAAACGUGUACAUGCUUGGUGAUUUGGCAGCAGGUACUCUCUGUGCAGGCAUAAAUCCCAUUCAGGAAGGCAUAUUCCAAUACUUUUCGUGUUCAAGCUGAAUUCCAUUAAUGGUUCAACUAAAGUAAAUGGAACCAACAGUGGGAAGAUACUAAGAUAUGGAUGUGCUGCUCAGAAUCUGACAUAAAUGCCACAUGCUGACACUUUCUAUAAAAGAGGUCCCAAAUUUCCCAUGAGCUGAAAUUUCCUAUUUUAAAAAUAUGCAUUGGUAUAUUGAUUUUUUUGAUUUAUAAAAUAAAUAAUUGCUAAAAGUUGCAAUCCUUCAUUCAUUCAGAUAAUAUAUGCAGAUCCUAUUUUUGAGUAAUUACAUUUCAAAAGAGCACAGCUCUUUCAGCAUAUUGAAUUGCUACUGACAUAUGCCAUCCGUCUUAAAUACUGUUUUCAGCAUUCUAAUUUCUUUUUCUAAUCAUGAGUCCAUGAUGACAAAUUAAAACAAUAUUUUGUGUGCGAUUCAUAUUUUAUUGAAAUUUAAAAUGGCAAGAAAAGGAUGAGUAUUCAGUUUAUUUUCUCUUCUCAAUUAAUACAGCAAUUAAGAUAAGGAGUAUAAAACUGGCUUAAUUGGGUAGCCAUGGCAACUAAUUGCCUGAUUUCUUCAAAAAUAGCAUGUUUUAGGUGGAAUCAAUCUGUGGUAAUUUAAUUACGUACAUAUGAAGCAAGAAGACAGGUUAGAUACAUGUAAGGAAAAAUUCUGUUUCCAAAUUGUUACACAUCUUUGUUACUCCAUUUUUUUCUAGCUGUUGUCUGUUUCUGUUCAUUACCUGUACUACAGAAUGAAAAUUUUUCCUUUUAACAAUUAGGAGUAUCAAGAAGAGCACAAUGAAUGACUGAAAGUAGUUCACAUGGUACCCAGAAAAAAGGAAAAAAGUGAAAAUUAGACUCUGAAUCCUUCCUCAUUUUCCUUAGAAUGGCAAACUGGCUACAGUCAUGGAACCAAAAUUCCCUUUUUAAAUAUAAAUCAAUAAAUAAAUAAUGACCAGUGCAACUCGAGGCAAACACUGAAAUCACUCCAAUCUAGAUAUAACUUCUUAUGGCUUCUUAUAACUUAUUGUUUCAUGUAUAGUCCAUGAAAUAGAGAUUACUGCUCCUGAAGCUGAUUUCCUGCAGCUCAACCCUCCUGUUGGACAUCCUGCCUAUACUAGGGAUGGCUGCCAUGCAAACACUUAUGAUGUCAAAAGCUGGGGAUGGUGAUGCAACACAGGGAGCAAAACACUUUCAGAAAAGAAAAAGGUAGUUUUCACUCCUGGGUUAUUGCUGUAAGAAACUCUGCUUACUGCGAUUUAGUAUAUCGAAAACUGUAUCUAUUAAAAACGUGAACCUGGCAGAAGCUGGCUCACUGGCAAUAGAUGAGAGUUUCUGUCUCAGUGGAAGAACACUGCUAACUUACUUGUGCCCUGCCCAGGUGGCAUCAGAAGAGGGAAGUAGAGAACUGUAUUUAAGCCAAGUCAGCAAGACUGGGCAUUAGUUUUUCAGCAUUUUUCACCAGCAGCUUACAUACCUGAACGGCAUAGGUGUUUUUUCCAUGUAUUAUGCAAACAAAGGUAACCAAGGUUUUUCUUCUAAAGAGAUGGAAAAGACUAUACAAUGGGAACAUUAACUAGGAUAUUGUGCCUCACUACAAUAACAUUGUUCAUUAACUUAAGACUGUUUGAAUAUAUAUCGUUAUUCCUUCCUCCCUCUUAAAGAAAAGGAGAAACCAUAGUUAGCUUUUUUUUUUCUUCUAGAUUUCAUACAUCUUCCAGAUUAUUUUUUAGCUUCCCCUCCAUAAUACUAAUGUUUUUCUCCUCCCUUAUGUUUUCUAAAUUCUAACGUAAACUCUCAGAAUGUAGGUGAAAAAUGGACCCUUCCUGCAGAGUCUUUUAGCAUGACUGACCUUAUGAGAAAAACAUAGAGACAUACAGGUAUUCUGCUUUAUGAGUCCUCCAUAUACUCCAUAAUGUGCUGCCAUAUGUAGGAUGACCUUACAACAUGGUUACACAGCAGAUCUCCUGGAAGGUCUGAUGCAAGCAGAUUUCUCAAAUUGAAAUGACUUCUUGCCUUUAUUUAAUCUAUACGAGUUUUACAAAUACACUCCCAGUAAUUGCACUGUAUUGUGGUGAUAUUGCAUUGUUUUUACUGAUUAGAAUAAUGAAUUCAAGAAAUAAAAUGAUCUCUAUUGUUGGCACUUUCGUUAAUUGAAAGAAACCUCUGAUGUUUUCUAAGUUUGCAUAAAUAUGACUUUGUCCCAUUAUGAGCUCAUUCUCAGAUUAAACACAGUUCAUGACACUUCAAUGUAUUAACUCUGCUUCAUGAUAUUUCCUACCAUUAUUUAAUUUCUUCUUUAAUAGACCAGAGACUCUAUGUCCACACAAGUAUUUAAUAAAGAGUUUUCAAAUUCUAAAGACACUACCUUGACCUUUACUGAAAUCAAAAGUACAGAGCAAAUUAGGAUAUUCAUUCCAAAAAGUCCUUUUUAACAUAAAAUUUCCCUCAAUAAAAGGUCAAACUUUAUUAUCUAUAAAAUUAAUACCGUGUCCAUCAAACUUGCUAUUACACAUUGUUUCACUUGUGUUUGGGAAUGUACAGGAACCUUUAGAUGUUUAGAGCAGAAGUAAUGUAGUUCAUACUUACUUAGCUACAUUUCAGUUAAUUAGACAAUGCUGAAAAAUAGCAUCAAGUUCAAAAAUAAUUUUGUAAACAACUGUAUUACUUACUGCAGUAAAAUGACUCCAUUUAGAGUUGAAUGACAGUAAAGAAUGCUUUUGUGAUUUACUGAAAAAAAGAUAUAUGGAUUUAUAUAAAGAACUACCAACCAUGAAGCUCCUGGUUUUACUUCUGACAGAAAUCUUCAACAUUUUACAAAUAAGAAAAAUGCCCCAGCACUUGUCCCCUGCACUGAAGUGUAAUAACCAGAAGCUAGUGUCUGAUGAAUCCAGUGACAGAUUCUCUGUUGACAUCAGUGAAAUAGUAUGAAAAAAGUAUCACUGUAAAUUUUGUUUUUAGCUGUCUCAUUUCUUCAAAUAAAAUAGCACCCAAAUGGUAUGGUCACGUUAAAAACAGUGACCAUAUGUGACAAAAAAUGUUAAAAACAUUUAUUUCAUAAAAAAUGAAAUAUGAUGGGACAACUGGAUCCCUUCUGUAAUUAUAUAUACUCUAUAUGCUAUGAAUACAAAUAUUGUUAAAAAUUCGAGAGGCAGGAGACCUUUUCUCCAUUAACACCAGCGACAGGACCCGCGGGAACGGGGUUAAGCUGAGGCAGGGGAAGUUUAGGCUUGA